rnacentral:lncRNA from 1 species
GAAAAUUCAUAUAGCUAACAAAAAUUUGCUUAAGAUUGACGCAUAAUAAUUAAUGUUAUUAUUAUUGUAGUAGGCCGAGUACAUAUCAUAUAAAAUAUCUUCAAAGAUAAUGUGAAUACUACACAUUGCCAUCCUUAGUUCUACUUAAAGACAACUCAGGAAUCCAAAUUAAUUUCCACGAAAAAGCUUAUGAUAUUUGCACCAGCACUGAGAGCAGUUUGCUUUGAUCCACUUCUCAUCUACUCUAGUGGAACACUAUCCCGGGUGUCCCUAUUAGUACAUAUGCAAUGGAAGUAAGCAAAGAGGAACAUAUAAACUUAUACAGAUUUAGAUGACAUAAUUAUAAAUUAGAGAUGAAUUAUUAACCUCUUGAAGCUAUUACACAAAUCAUCCAAGGCUUUCUCCGGGUAUGUGAUCUUUUGAUAUAGCCUAAAAAAUCUCCGAGUGUAGAAGACUUGUGUGGGAAAGUACUGCUUCUC